UACGGGGGGGGCAAGCGUUGUUCGGAAUUACUGGGCGUAAAGGGCUCGUAGGCGGCCAACUAAGUCAGACGUGAAAUCCCUCGGCUCAACCGGGGAACUGCGUCUGAUACUGGAUGGCUCGAGUCCGGGAGAGGGAUGCGGAAUUCCAGGUGUAGCGGUGAAAUGCGUAGAUAUCUGGAGGAACACCGGUGGCGAAGGCGGCAUCCUGGACCGGCACUGACGCUGAGGAGCGAAAGCCAGGGGAGCAAACGGG
rnacentral:rRNA from 1 species